AGAAACUAACAAGGAUUCCCCUAGUAACUGCGAGUGAAGCGGGAAAAGCUCAAAUUUAAAAUCUGGCGGUCUCUGGCCGUCCGAGUUGUAAUCUAGAGAAGUGUUACCCGCGCUGGACCGUGUACAAGUCCCCUGGAAUGGGGCGUCAUAGAGGGUGAGAAUCCCGUCUCUGACACGGACUACCAGGGCUUUGUGGUAUGCUCUCAAAGAGUCGAGUUGUUUGGGAAUGCAGCUCAAAAUGGGUGGUAAAUUCCAUCUAAAGCUAAAUAUUGGCGAGAGACCGAUAGCGAACAAGUACCGUGAGGGAAAGAUGAAAAGAACUUUGGAAAGAGAGUUAAACAGUACGUGAAAUUGCUGAAAGGGAAACGCUUGAAGUCAGUCGCGUUGGCCGGGAAUCAGCCUCGCUUUUGCGUGGUGUACUUUCUGGUUGACGGGUCAGCAUCAAUUUUGACCGCUGGAAAAAGGCUUGGGGAAUGUGGCAGCUCCGGCUGUGUUAUAGCCCCUUGUCACAUACAGCGGUUGGGAUUGAGGAACUCAGCACGCCGCAAGGCCGGGUUUCGACCACGUUCGUGCUUAGGAUGCUGGCAUAAUGGCUUUAAGCGACCCGUCUUGAAACACGGACCAAGGAGUCUAACAUGCCUGCGAGUGUUUGGGUGGAAAACCCGAGCGCGUAAUGAAAGUGAAAGUUGAGAUCCCUGUCGCGGGGAGCAUCGACGCCCGGACCAGAACUUUUGGGACGGAUCCGCGGUAGAGCAUGUAUGUUGGGACCCGAAAGAUGGUGAACUAUGCCUGAAUAGGGUGAAGCCAGAGGAAACUCUGGUGGAGGCUCGUAGCGAUUCUGACGUGCAAAUCGAUCGUCAAAUUUGGGUAUAGGGGCGAAAGACUAAUCGAACCAUCUAG
rnacentral:rRNA from 1 species